rnacentral:rRNA from 1 species
UCCUACGGGGGGCUGCAGUGGGGAAUUUUGGACAAUGGGGGCAACCCUGAUCCAGCCAUGCCGCGUGAGUGAAGAAGGCCUUCGGGUUGUAAAGCUCUUUCGGCCGGGAAGAAAUCGCAUGGGCUAAUACCCUGUGUGGAUGACGGUACCGGAAUAAGAAGCACCGGCUAACUACGUGCCAGCAGCCGCGGUAAUACGUAGGGUGCGAGCGUUAAUCGGAAUUACUGGGCGUAAAGCGUGCGCAGGCGGUGAUGUAAGACAGAUGUGAAAUCCCCGGGCUCAACCUGGGAACUGCGUUUGUGACUGCAUCACUCGAGUACGGCAGAGGGAGGUGGAAUUCCGCGUGUAGCAGUGAAAUGCGUAGAGAUGCGGAGGAACACCGAUGGCGAAGGCAGCCUCCUGGGCCAGUACUGACGCUCAUGCACGAAAGCGUGGGGAGCAAACAGGAUUAGAUACCCCAGUAGUCG